rnacentral:lncRNA from 1 species
CAAAUGCUGUGAUUAAGUGCUGAAUCAUAGUUGUUUAAAAUACAUUUCUUUAUCGAGCCAAUUAGCAAUGCUAAAAUUACCCCAGUGCUCUUACUUGAAUGACCAAGAGGUUCAAAACACAAAGUUCCGGAGCAGGAGAAUUAGACUGACUUACACAAUAAAUUAUUCUUUAAGAGGAAAAUCCAUUUUCAAAAAAUGUAUACCCAAGAAGUGAGAAAUGAAAAUCAGGCUGAAUGAUGAAAUGUUUUUUCACAUUGUCGGAAAAAUACAAGUCUCAGGAGUUGGCUUCAACAGCGCAGCCAGCGUUUCCGCAGGGCUGAGGACUGGGCUCGUGGACGGGGCUGCCCGCAGGCCUCAGUGGUGACAGUUCCAGAGCUGCGCGCACUCUGCCUGGCUGAGUGGAUGCAUUACCUUGCUCUCUAGAAAUAAUGGGAAUUACCCACUUAAUCCUUGGCACAAAGUGCUGAUAAUAUGCCAAUUAACGAGUAAUUAGGAAGAUUUUUCCCGAACAUUAGGUUCUGGGAGAAAGUCUCAUUUGAGAAAGAGGUUUGUAUGUCUUCUCUCCUCUUCCUGUGGUUUUCAGCUCAGCGGGCGUCCAGCGAAUCUGGGUUUGUUUACAAUGACUCCAGGGCUGUUCCAUUCACUGAUUUGGUUCAAGCAGCGUGUGUAAAUCAUGCUAUGCUGACCCUGGUCAUCCCAGAGCCCGCGUGAAUAAAAAAGGGGCCUUGCUCUCCCACUGUGAGACAGACUUGCAUGGGAUUCCUUCAGUGCAGAAUUCUGGAAUGUUGAUGAACACCAGGACAUCAACUGGGAGUGGCCCAGAAGCCCGAAGCUGAGAGGACAAAGCUCACUGGGUCCUCCACAAUCUCUACUUUACCAAAAUCCAUGCGGGUGCAUCAUAAAGAGAGAUGCUUGAUGACCAAGUUGUUCUGGACAAAUCAAGGUGACAUGAAAUGGCCGUUCUAGUCUAUGCAAUGGCAGCAUGAACACAGAAAGCUGAAACGGGGGAUCAGUUCUGCAGCCAAGAGACAUUAAAGCUCAAAGCACAGGAAAAGAGAGUGGAGGGGCUGCUGCCCCAGGAAGGCUGGGCCCACCCCUCCUCACAGGCACCCUGAUGCCUGUUCAGCUUGGCUCUCUGGAUGACAGGCAGAAGCCCCAGUUGCUUCUCUUCUCCACGGUGAUUUCUGCAUACUUUAUCCAAACCCCCUCCCCACCGCUGUUCAGUUUCUGGCUCCUCUUCCUGCCCGUGCUCUGAGGCCAGCUGGGGGCCUCCCAGGUGACUCCUGCUGCUGCUGUCACUGGACCCUGACGCUGUGCCGCACCCGAAUUCCUCCGAAUGGAGCCUUGGCCAGAGCAAGGCGUGCCGUGUAGAGGAGCGGAUCUGAGCCUGGCAGGAGAUCGCUAAAACCUUUGCCCUUCACACAAACGCGGAAGCACGGGGCGGGUGCUGAAGAGCCAAGCAAGUGUCCCCCAUUUCCUUCCAAGGCAGAGCAGCAGCCCAGGGAGGCCCAGUUUCCAUCGCGGCAGAAGGGCAGAAGAGUGGGGGAGGUCCCAGGACCACAGCCCAGGGGACACUCAGGAUGCGCCAGGAAGGACAUGGCAGACAGGCCCUUUAGGUGGAAAAGCAACCCUCAGCUGCCCAGAGAGCGGCCCCUCCAGGCCCUCCCCGCCGUCUGCAAAGCUCUUCAGCUGGGAGAGGAGGAAAGGGUUUGUUCUUGACCUCCUUCCUUUCCUUUCUUCUCCACUGUCCACCAGAGAGCAGGAAGACAGGCUGAUGCUCUUGUUAAAGAUGAAGGCAUAAUUCACAUGCCAUAAAAUUCACCAUUUUAACCAUUUUAAGGUGCACAGUUCAGUGGUUUUGAGUGCAUUACAUUGUUGGGCAACCAUCAGCAUGGUCUAAUUCCAAAACAUUUCUGUCACUCCAAAAAGAAAUCUUGUACCCAUUAGCAGUCACUCCCCAUUUCCCCCUACCCCCCAGCCCCCCGGCACCCACGAAGGUGCUUUCUCUGUUUCGAGGGAUCUUCCUAUUGUGGCAAAUCCUCUGAAUGGAAUCAUACAAUAUGUGGUCUUCUGCCACUGGCUUCUUUCACUGACCAUAAUUUUUCAAGGUUCACCCACGUUGUAGCAUGCGUCAGCGCUUCAUUCCUUUCCAUGGCUGGACUGUAUUUCAUUGUAUGUCUGGACCACAUUCUGUUUCUCUAGUCAUCAGUUGAUUACUUACUUUUCAGGGCCCACUUAGCCUUUCUUCCCAAGGGCAGGGGCUCUGUUGUCCACUGUUUUGGAGUCUUCCAGCAGACUUGAUGGAGUGUACCAGUGGUUUCCUUGCUGGGCAAAUAACCAGAGGGUCCCUGGGUACGGGAAUCUCUGAGUCCUGAUCUUUGGCUCUGCUGCAGACCAGGUCACUGUAUGAUCUUUUAGCAGCCUCUUUACCUCACCUGGCCUCAGUUUCUUCAUCUGAAAAAUGAAGGGCUUGAAGCAGAUGGUCUCUAACACUUCUCCUGGCCCAACACUUUAAGAUGUUUCAGCAAAGCAGUGAAGAAGCAGCCUUCUGUGACCUUUCUGAACAAGGCAGAGGAAAGCAAGCUGUAGGCUGACAUAGUUAGGUGAUUCCAUAACAAAAUUGCGCUGUAAACAAUCAUCUGGAUCAAUCGACAGAAGGCACUUGCAACAGGUUCCCAGAUGACAGAAAACUAUAGGAAUGACAGGGAAGGAAUGAUGGGGCAGAUUAAAAUGGAGAAAUUUAACAGGGACAAAUGUAAAAGUCGGACAUUUUGCUCCAAAGUUCAACAGAACAGCUACCUGCUUUGUUGGAUAUGUUCAGGCAGUGUCCUUUAUAAGAGUUUGAUUGACUCUAAAUGAAUCUCAUUAUGAGUCACCAUUGGGACAGGCUGCCAAAAGGCCAAUGUGACUUCAGAUUAAAUCAAUAGAGGUCUACUGGCUGAAACAAGGGAGGUGACAUUAUUGAGUCCAUCCCUGGUGUAUGUAGCUGCUACCCUCUGAGAAGGAGGCCCCCAAUAGGAAAAGCCAGAGGGAGGAUGGAUAAGACAUGAAGAGCUCUAGAACCAUGGUUUGGUAGUAGGAGGGGCUCAGGGUUUGGGUCUUUAAAAGAUAAGACAGAGAGUGCUGUUCACAUCUGUGAAGGAACAUGGCAUGAGAAGGGGAGUUGACUUCCACCAUGGGGACCUGCAGGGUGACUGGGGCUGGAAGAUGAUCAAUUGUGACCCAGGACCAGGAAGAACUUCGCAGCAACAAAAGUCACAGGAAAUGGAAAAAACUCCUGGUGAAGAACACAG